UACGUAGGCAGCGAGCGUUGUUCGGAAUUACUGGGCGUAAAGAGUGUGUAGGCGGUGCUCUAAGUUCGGUGUGAAAUCUCCCGGCUUAACUGGGAGGGUGCGCCGGAAACUGGAGUGCUCGAGCGUGGGAGAGGAAAGCGGAAUUACCUGGUGUAGCGGUGAAAUGCGUAGAUAUCAGGAGGAACACCUGCGGUGUAGACGGCUUUCUGGACCAUUGCUGACGCUGAGACACGAAAGCGUGGGUAGCAAACAGG
rnacentral:rRNA from 1 species